rnacentral:rRNA from 1 species
UACGUAGGGUGCAAGCGUUGUCCGGAAUUAUUGGGCGUAAAGAGCUCGUAGGCGGUUUGUCACGUCGGAUGUGAAAACCUGAGGCUCAACCUCAGGCCUGCAUUCGAUACGGGCAGACUAGAGUACUGUAGGGGAGACUGGAAUUCCUGGUGUAGCGGUGAAAUGCGCAGAUAUCAGGAGGAACACCGGUGGCGAAGGCGGGUCUCUGGGCAAUAACUGACGCUGAGGAGCGAAAGCGUGGGGAGCGAACAGG